rnacentral:lncRNA from 10 species
UUUUCCCAGGGGCUUGGGGGCUGCCUCACUACCCUUGUUGGGACUUUUGCAUACAAUCACCAUGGGGGACCUGAGUACAAUUGCCCAGUCCAGCUCUGCCUGGGCCCUUCCCCAUGCCUCUCCAAGGUGGAGCAUGGCAUCCGGGCUCAUGAGUUUUCCAUUACCCAAUCUGCCACCUGAGACACCCAAGUACUUCUCCCAUGGAAAAGAGGCUGGGCACAAAUCCUGUUGUACCCACUGUAGCUGGCUCUAACCUGUAAACAUCGCCUACUGACCUAGAGGUCAACAUGCAAAGCCCACUGCAACAACUUCUAACACAAGGGCAAAGUGCUUGGAAACUAGAAGAUCAUUGCACAACCACUGCUACCACCAUGACCCAUGCCACCCUGGGUUACAAGGGGGUUGAGCAAAUUUUCUUGAGCAGAAUCUGGUAGGGGGGCAGGGUGCAAAUGGGAACUGCUGCAGAUAAGAGCACAGAAGCCACCACGGACAGUGUGGGCAGAUGGGGAAGGGCAAAGCCUGAAAGCCAUGCUUGCUUUCUCAGCGGGGAAGCUUACGGCCUGGGACAAGGUCUGCGGCAGGGACUGCAGAAGAGAGACCAGCCUUGCCAACUGUGUGGGAGCUGGAUGAGGCCUUUCACUACUGGCUCUCCCCAACUUCCCUGGCAAACUAUAUAACACAGCACAGGUGGCCAAGAUCCCCUCUGGAACAAAACCCCAUUGGCCUGAGAACCACCCCCCAACAACCACGGUGGCUGCAGCAAGCCCUGCCCAGGGAGAAUCAGAACCCAGACCCACCUGACCUUGCCCCCAGCUGAUGGUAUUUCUCUACCUACCCUGGCAGCUGAACACAAAAGACAUAAAGUCUAGGGAGCUUUAUGGCCCCACCCAUCACCUGAGAAACCAGAAUACUUACCUUGGCCAACUUGGGGCAAGCU